rnacentral:rRNA from 1 species
UACGAAGGGGCUAGCGUUGCUCGGAAUGACUGGGCGUAAAGGGCGCGUAGGCGGUUUGUACAGUCAGAUGUGAAAUUCCCGGGCUCAACCUGGGGGCUGCAUUUGAUACGUAUGGACUUGAGUGGGGAAGAGGGUCGUGGAAUUCCCAGUGUAGAGGUGAAAUUCGUAGAUAUUGGGAAGAACACCGGUGGCGAAGGCGGCGACCUGGUCCUUGACUGACGCUGAGGCGCGAAAAGCGUGGGGGAGCAAAACAGGG